rnacentral:lncRNA from 1 species
CCCAGGGGUCCUGUGUCCCCUGGGGGUCCCAUGUCCCUGGGGGGGUGUCCCUGGGGGUCCCGUGUCCUCAGGGGUCCCAUGUCCCCAAGGGUCCCUUGUUCUGGGGGUCCCUUGUCCCCCAGGGGUCCCGUGUCCCCAAGGGUCCCUUCUCCUGGGGGUCCCUUCUUCCCAAGGUCCUGUCCCCCCAAGGUGUCCCAUGUCACCAGGGGGCUGUCCCCGGGGGUCCUGUGUCCCCACAGGAGGUGUCCCUGGGGGGUCCCGUGUCCCUGGGGGGUCCCAUGUCCCCAGGGAUCCCAUGUCGAAGGGUCCUGUGUCCCAUGGGGUCCCCUGUCCCCCAGGGGUCCCGUGUCCCCAAGGGUCCCUUCUCCUGGGGGUUCCUUGUCCCUCAGACUCUUGUGUCCCCGAGGGUCCCUUGUCUUGGGGGCCCCAUGUCCCCUGGGGUCCCUUGUCCCCCCCAAUUCCAUGUUCCCUGGGGUCCCUUGUCCCCCAAGGGUCCCUUGUCCGGGUGGUCCCAUGUCACUUGUCCCUGAGAGGUCCCAUGUCCCCGGGGGUCCUUUCUCCCCAGGGUCCCCUGUCCCCGAGGGUCCCUUGUCCUUGGGGGGUCCUGUGUCCCCCGAGGUCCCUUGUCCCCCCGAUUCCCUGUUCCCUGGGGUCCCGUGUCCCCAAGGGUCCCUUCUCCUGGGGGUUCCUUGUCCCUCAGACUCUUGUGUCCCCGGGGGUCCCUUGUCCUGGGGGUCCCUUCUUCCCGAGGUCCCCUGUCCCCAGGGGUCCCUUGUCCUGGGGUCACUUGUCCUUCGGGGUCCCAUGUCCCUGAGGGUCCCUCGUCUCCUGGGGGUUCUGUGUCCCCACAAUCCCAUGUCCCAUGGUGUCCCUUGUCCCCCAGAGGUCCCAUGUCCCCAGGGGUCCUUUCUCCUGGGGGUCCUGUGUCCCUGGGGGGUCCCUUGGCCCCGAGGGUCCCUUCUCCUGGGGGUCCCAUGUCCCCAAGGGUCCCAUGUCCCCAAGGGUCCCUUGUCCCCCAGGGGUCCCUUCUCCAGGGGGUCCUGUGUCCCUGGGGGGUCCUUUGGCCCCGAGGGUCCCUUCUCCUGGGGGUCCCUUGUCCCCAAGGGUCUUAUGUCCCUGGGGUCCCAUGUCUCCAGGGGGUCCCUUUUCCUCAGGGGUCCCAUGUCCUGGGGGUCCCUUGGCCCCCAGGUCCCAUGUCCGGGGGGUCCCGCAGGUCCCCCAACCACUGGGCUCAGUGAUNNNNNNNNNNNNNNNNNNNNNNNNNNNNNNNNNN